CACGCAGGCGGGCUGUCAAGUCGGGUGUGAAAACCACGGGCUUAACUCGUGGCCUGCACUCGAAACUGCCAGUCUUGAGUACCGGAGAGGAUGGCGGAAUUCCUGGUGUAGCGGUGAAAUGCGUAGAUAUCAGGAAGAACACCGGUGGCGAAGGCGGCCAUCUGGACGGAUACUGACGCUCAGGUGCGAAGGCUAGGGGAGCAAACA
rnacentral:rRNA from 1 species